AGCAGCCGCGGUAAUUCCAGCUCCAAUAGCGUAUAUUAAAGUUGUUGCAGUUAAAAAGCUCGUAGUUGAAUUUCGGGGUCAGUAGAUUGGUCGUGCCACUGGUAUGUACUGGUCUUACUGGCUCCUCCUUCCUGAUGAACCGUAAUGCCAUUAAUUUGGUGUUGCGGGGAAACUGGACUGUUACUUUGAAAAAAUUAGAGUGUUUAAAGCAGGCUAACGCUUGAAUACAUUAGCAUGGAAUAAUGAAAUAGGACGUUCGAUCUUAUUUUGUUGGUUUCUAGGAUUGACGUAAUGAUUAAUAGGGAUAGUUGGGGGCAUUAGUAUUCAAUUGUCAGAGGUGAAAUUCUUGGAUUUAUUGAAGACUAACUACUGCGAAAGCAUUUGCCAAGGAUGUUUUCAUUAAUCAAGAACGAAAGUUAGGGGAUCGAAGACGAUCAGAUACCGUCGUAGUCUUAACCAUAAACUAAUGCCGACUAGGGAUCGGAUGAUGUUAAUUUUUUAAUGACUCAUUCGGCGCCUU
rnacentral:sRNA from 1 species